rnacentral:lncRNA from 1 species
AAAUAUUUGUAAAAAUCUAUUCUGGACUGUCUGGAACCUGUUUUGUUACUCCAAGUGAAUGAUCUGUCAGCCAGAAACCUCUCUCCAUAUAUUUGUAUUUAUUUAUUUUAUUUCACCUUUAUUUAACCAGGUAGGCUAGUUGAGAACAAGUUCUCAUUUGCAACUGCGACCUGGCCAAGUUAAAGCAUAGCAAUUUGACACAUACAACAACACAGAGUUACACAUGGAAUAAACAAAACACAGUCAAUAAUACAGUAGAACAAAAGAAAACAAAAAGUCUAUAUACAGUGAGUGCAAAUGAGGUAAGUUAAGGCAAUAAAUAAGCCAUGGUGGCGAAGUAAUUACAAUAUAGCAAUUAAACACUGGAAUGGUACAUGUGCAGAAGAUGAAUGUGCAAGUAGAGAUACUGGGGUGCAAAGGAGCAAGAUAAAUAAAUAAAUACCGUAUGGGGAUGAGGUAGGUAGAUAGGCUUUUUACAGAUGGGCUAUGUACAGGUGCAGUGAUCUGUGAGUUGCUCUGACAGCUGGUGCUUAAAGCUAGUGAGGGAGAUAUGAGUCUCCAGCUUCAGAGAUUUUUGCAGUUCGUUCCAUAUCAGUAAGAGCAAACUUUUCCAUAAAAAGUAUUAAACCCAAAUUCUGACUGGUUGGACUACCUGGUGGCCAUCUAUCAGUUGAAUUAUCUAUAGUAAUGUUAGAGUGCCUUCCUAUCAAUAAUAACGAAUUGGGACAAGUAUAUGUUUCUCUAUAGAUUCAAGCAACUCAUCAUUCUCAUGUUUGGUGUUGUACCCGUAGAAGUUUACAGUAAUGAGCGUAAUGUCAUUGUAACUGAUCACAAGACAAAUAAAGUGACCAAAGGGGUCACAUUCUGAGUGUAGAAUAUUUCCACCAAAGGUAUUUUUCAUUGUUGUGACCCCAGCGGAGCGUUCAGAUCGAUGGGAAAGCCAAAUAUCGUUGCCCCUGAGACCUCCAGAAGUUGACAUCAGCAGAAAUUGAGUGAGACUCUUGAAAAAAGCUCUAAAUUGUUUGGCAAAAAAAUACGGCCUUGCGCUUCACAUUGUUUCGUAACCCCCUAGCAUUAAGAGAAACUAUAGACAAAGAUAAAACAACAAAUAUAAUAUGAAAGUAUAAACUGUAGGAUGAGUCAAUAACGUGGAAGCAGUGAAUGUAAGCCAUAAGGAACCGAGAUCUGCACCAUUUAAGUCAACUUAAAGUGAAAUUAGCUUAAACCAUAAACUCUGAGCUAGUUGUUAUUCGGCUUUUGAAAUUGAACUCAACUGAAGAUUAUGUUCAAGACCACACCAAGGGUUCUCUGUAGUAAGAGAGACUAAAAACCCUCUUUAGUGUAAUCAGGGAGUAUUCUGAGAAAUAAAAAUAAAAUACAAAAUAAUAAUUAAAAAAAUAAAAGGGUACCUACUAUUUUAAGUGCAUAUGAAAACUGAUCAUAAAAAAAUAAAGAAUAAAACAUGUUUUACAUAUACACAUUCCUAGGACCUUUUUCACUUGGAAAUAAGUAUUAAUAACUAAAUAGAACAAUAACCGUGUAAAGUCAGAGCAGACAUGUAUGCCCCUUUAAAACAGUAUCUUAGUUACUGUAUGCAUAACAAAAAAAUACAACUUUCAGUCGUCUUCGUGAAUUUGUAAACAAAAUAGGCCUUCUUCUGGUCUGGUCAUACAAGAACAAACUAAUAAAUUAUUGAGGUACCGGAGUAUUCCGAAAAAAUUGUCACCUGGGGCUUGUUUGGUAACGUUAAAUCAGUACAAGGAAAAUGAGAAUACCAUGGCUGAAACCAUCAAUCUGUUCCUUCUGGUGAGAUUCUAGGGAGGAAUACGUAUUUCCGAACCGUUGAUGAAGCCUCGUCCUAAGCAGCCUUUCCCUCAUUUCGUGCUUUCUUGAUCGUUGGCCACAACUUGUUCCUUCUUUCUAUGUCCUCCGGGCUGAGAUGCUCGGCGAAACGCAUACCAUGGCUCUGAAGGAAGGCGUUCUUCCUAGCAGCUUUCCAGACAACAUCCCUGUAGAAUCUGGCAGUGAAGAGGAGGAUGAUGAUACCCCUUGGUCUUGAAUCGUUUUGCUGUUGCUUCUUGCCGAGGCGAUGCACAACGUCGAUGGUAUCACCAACUUUCGUUAUUCUCUGCAGACAUAAUUUAUUGGCAGAUGCGGGUAGCCUUUCGUCGCACAUCCCCAUUCUCCACCUAGAGUCUCAGGUUCCAUCUUGUGUAUUGCUCCAGAUCAGUGAGACGUCUAUGGGUGGAGGUUUGCACGGAGGAACCGGUAAAGAGGGGAACUCGUCAUCUUCAACAGCAUAUUAUCCACAGGCCAAGCGUAGAUAUGGCAGUUGUCUAUAAGCACGUUCCUCUCUUGUUGCUUAGCAAUAGAACGGCUAGCUUCUAUCUUUCUUUUUUUGUCACGACUUCCCAUGAACAUGCCGAAAUAAAUUAUCCAAUUAUUAUUCCAGUCACAGGAAAGUUCUUAUAUCUUGAACAAAUAAAACCAGUAAUAGUAAUGACAGUUAACCAUUUUUUUUCUCACAAUAUUUCUGAAGUUUGGUGCGGAGCUCGGUAAAAACAUAAAAAGCGUAAGGUCAAGCCGCCAUCUUGGUCUUGUCACACAAACAUACCAUACCUUCCCUUUUUC